rnacentral:rRNA from 1 species
GGUUUCCUACGGGGCGCAGCAGUGAGGAAUAUUGGUCAAUGGCCGUAAGGCUGAACCAGCCAAGUCGCGUGAAGGAAGAAGGAUCUAUGGUUUGUAAACUUCUUUUAUAGGGGAAUAAAGGUAUCCACGUGUGGAUAUUUGCAUGUACCCUAUGAAUAAGCAUCGGCUAACUCCGUGCCAGCAGCCGCGGUAAUACGGAGGAUGCGAGCGUUAUCCGGAUUUAUUGGGUUUAAAGGGUGCGUAGGUUGUUUUUUAAGUGAGCGGUGAAAGUUGGUGGCGCAACCAUAAAAUUGCCGUUGAAACUG